CGAGGCCUGGACGCCGGAACGCCUGCGGCCGUUCUUCGGCCGGCUGCCGGUGGCCGAGUGGUUCAACCCGUCGGCCCCGGC
rnacentral:tRNA from 2 species